GGUGGCACAAUGAGGAACUAUCUUUGCUAAUGUAUCUAUGAGGCCAUUAGGCUAAUGACUCAAAAUGUCCUUUUCAUUCUGAGUGCCUG
rfam:Leersia perrieri chromosome 3, whole genome shotgun sequence.